GGGCAAAGAUAAGAACUCAUAUGGUCUCAAAGAGUGAAGAAGACCUAAAAAUCAUGCACAAUAGGAAUACGCAGAGGCCC